rnacentral:rRNA from 1 species
UACAGAGGUAUCGAGCGUUGUUCGGAUUCAUUGGGCGUAAAGGGCGCGUAGGCGGCGGGGUAAGUCUGGUGUGAAAUCUCGGAGCUCAACUUCGAAAUUGCACUGGAUACUGCUCUGCUAGAGGGCUGGAGAGGAGAUCGGAAUUCACGGUGUAGCAGUGAAAUGCGUAGAUAUCGUGAGGAAGACCAGUGGCGAAGGCGGAUCUCUGGACAGCUCCUGACGCUGAGGCGCGAAGGCUAGGGGAGCAAACGGG